GACGAACGCUGGCGGCGUGCUUAACACAUGCAAGUCGAACGGAAAGGCCCUGCUUUUGUGGGGUGCUCGAGUGGCGAACGGGUGAGUAACACGUGAGUAACCUGCCCUUGACUUUGGGAUAACUUCAGGAAAAUGGGGCUAAUAUCGGAUAGGAGCUCCUGCUGCAUGGUGGGGGUCGGAAAGUUUCGGCGGUUGGGGAUGGACUCGCGGCUUAUCAGCUUGUUGGUGGGGUAGUGGCUUACCAAGGCUUUGACGGGUAGCCGGCCUGAGAGGGUGACCGGCCACAUUGGGACUGAGGUACGGCCCAGACUCCUACGGGAGGCAGCAGUGGGGAAUAUUGCACGAUGGGCGGAAGCCUGAUGCAGCAACGCCGCGUGUGGGAUGACGGCCUUCGGGUUGUAAACCGCUUUCGCCUGUGACGAAGCGUGAGUGACGGUAAUGUGUAAAGAAGCACCGGCUAACUACGUG
rnacentral:rRNA from 1 species